UACGUAGGGACCGAGCGUUGUCCGGAAUCAUUGGGCGUAAAGAGCGUGUAGGCGGCCACUUAAGUCCUGCGUGAAAUCUUGCGGCUCAACCGCAAGCGGUCGUGGGAAACUGGGUGGCUAGAGUGCGGGAGAGGAGAGUGGAAUUCCUGGUGUAGCGGUGGAAUGCGCAGAUAUCAGGAAGAACACCCGUGGCGAAGGCGGCUCUCUGGAACGCA
rnacentral:rRNA from 1 species